rnacentral:rRNA from 1 species
GUACAUGCCUACAACAUAUUGUUAAUGCACUGGAUCCCAUUAGAACUCUACAGUUAAGCGUACUCAGGAUAGAGUAGUACUGGGAUGGGUGACUACCUAGGAAAUCUUAGUGUUUUCUACG